rnacentral:rRNA from 1 species
UACAGAGGUGGCGAGCGUUGUUCGGAUUUACUGGGCGUGAAGGGUGCGUAGGCGGCUCCGUAUGUCGGAUGUGAAAUCCCACUGCUCAGCGGUGGAACGGCGUCCGAAACCGCGGGGCUAGGGUGCAGGAAGGGAGAGCGGAAUUCUUGGUGUAGCGGUGAAAUGCGUUGAUAUCAAGAAGAACACCGGUGGCGAAGGCGGCUCUCUGGAAUGCAACUGACGCUGAGGCACGAAAGCUGGGGGAGCAAACAGGAUUAGAUACCCUGGUAGUCCCAGCCGUAAACGGUGCGCACUUGGUGUAGGGAGUAUUGACCCUCCCUGUGCCGGAGCUAACGCGUUAAGUGCGCCGCCUGGGGAGUACGGCCGCAAGGCUAAAACUCAAAGAAAUUGACGGGGGCCCGCACAAGCGGAGGAGCAUGUGGCUCAAUUCGAUGCAACGCGAAGAACCUUACCAGGGCUUGACAUGCAGCUGCACGUCCGCCGAAAGGUGGAAAGCCUUCGAGGGUGCUGCACAGGUGCUGCAUGGCUGUCGUCAGUUCGUGCCGUGAGGUGUUGGGUUAAGUCCCGCAACGAACGCAACCCCUAUGUUUAGUUGCCACCGUCCGUGAUGAGCGGAUGAGCACUCUAAACAGACUGCCCGUACAAGCGGGAGGAAGGUGGGGAUGACGUCAAGUCAGUAUGGCCCUUACGUCCUGGGCUGCACACGUGCUACAAUGGCCGGUACAGAGGGAUGCAAGGCCGCGAGGUGGAGCAAAUCCCGAAAACCGGCCUCAGUUCGGAUUGAAGUCUGCAACUCGACUUCAUGAAGCUGGAUUCGCUAGUAACGGCGCAUCAGCUACGGCGCCGUGAAUACGUUCCCGGGCCU